AGAAUUUUGAUUCUCCCUACCAGCUCUGGAGAGCAACCAGCUCCUACAACAGGAAGGAUUACUCUGGAGAAUACACCAUGUUCCUGAUCCCCUGCACGGUGCAGCCCACGCAGCCGUGGGCAGAGCCUGGAGCCAAGCCCCUGCCCUGCACGGCUCACGCUCCCGAGCGGUAAGAGGGCAGGAGGGCAGGCUCGGCCCCUUUGGGGUGCACACCUGUCCAGACCUCAUCUCCCCUUUGUUUCCUUCCUUGUCCCAAUUGCAGGUUUUUGAUCCUGAUCACCUUCCAGCAGACAAGCCGCCCAGUUCCAGUUGUUUACUCCCAGAACGCAAGAGUUUCAGAUCUGUAACGACGAGAAGGUUUUUCUAAUGGACCCCACCAAAUCGGAAAGGUCUCUGGCAGAAAUGGAUUACAAGGGGGGCUUUUUCCAAGGGUAGGAUUUACCUCUCCUCUUCUGCUUGUGCCCAGCGUUUCUGCUUUCACAGCUUCCAUUCCCUGGAGAGGAAAGGGCAAAACCCACAGGUAGCUUUGCCUCUUCUACAGCAAUCAUUGACAUCUUACAGCCCUGUGAAAGAGCAGCGUGCUCUGGCACCGCGUUUUGUCACUCCCACCCACCGAGCCCUUCCCAAACAACCCAAACCCUUCUGAACACGGACACUUGGCUCUAGCAGCGUUUUCCUGCUUGGGAAAUUUCACCUGCCCCUCUUUGUCCCGACCUCCCCAGGGCAGAUCCUGUAGGGGCACGUGCUCUGGCACCCGGAACAAAACCUCAACGCUGCUUACAAGCUGCAGCUGGAGAAGGUCAACCUGUGCACAGGCAGGGAUGGCUACGUGCCCUUCCUCGACCCCACGGGUACCGUCUACAACGAGGGGCCCCGGUACGGCUGCAUCCAGCCCAACAAGUACCUGAAACACCGAUUCCUCCUCCUGGACCAAAACCAGCCAGAAGUGAGGGAUAAGUAUUUCCCCGAUGUGCCUUUUGACGCCCACUUUGCUUCCCAGCUGUCCGAGUUCCACUCGGUGAGCAGCACGCCCGGAGUUGAUGGAUUUACUCUCAAGGUGGACGCUCUCUACAAGGUAUGUAGUACCCAGUGCUUUUGGUAGCCCAAAAUGGACUUCUCUGUCCAGGACCUCCCAAACACUUGGUGAAUUGUAGACUCUGGGCCUUCAGAAUUCACCUCUGAUACAAGAAAUGAAGAUUAGGAUGUUAGUCCCGUAAUUUCAUUUUUUUUUUUCCCUGAGGCACUCAUGAGAAGGCUCUUUAAAAACACAUUAUUCGUGUUCCUGAAGGAAUUAAUGCCAUCGCAAAGGCAGGACACCUCACGGGGUGGUCUGUGCUCCCGAGGAGCUCCCCUUGAACACCCGAGGUGGAGCUGCCCCGGGGCUGCCCCGAAGGCGGCGGGCGGCCGCUGCUGCACCGUCAGGAACCUUCAUCCACCGAGGGACGCGGCGGCCUCUGCCAGGGCCAGGGCAGGAAAGUGAAGCAGGUGCACAUGGAAGUCAAAGUCCACGGCAAUUUGCACGACGGCACGGAAGUUUCAUGGAGCACACGCAUUGGGAAAAGCUUUUUAUAAACUGUAAAAUAAAGAUAAUCCAAAACUGAAAAGCCACCUGGGUAU